rnacentral:lncRNA from 1 species
AGUCUGACUUUUCCCUUGGGCUAAGUUCUCUCAUAGUCUCUCAUGCAAAUGAAUUGUUGGCAGAGUCAUCCAUCCAACCUGCCAGAUAUACUUUGAGAUGUCUUAAUCUCACCAGACACAAUUUAGGUCAAGGUUAAGAAGACCAGUAAGAUUAGAUAGAAUCUUGCUAGUAUCAAAGGACCUGUCUGACAGUUUCAAAGUCUCUAGCCACGUUGCUUUCUCUCUAGUGACCUGAGGACCCUCAGUCAAAGUACACAUCUUUGCAGAGUUCUUGAGAUGGGUAUGCAGAUUGUGUUCUCCUGCAUCUGUUCUUUCACAUAGGACAUAAUUGUUAAAAUAGUGAUAUAACCACUAGAAAUAAUGACCUACGGUAGCGGCAAGAUAGGACCAAUUUACUCCAACUUAGAGAAAAGGUAAGAUUUUACAGAAGAAGUAAAUUUGGAGUUAGGCCAUUUAAACAGAAGCAGAAUAUCAACAAGUGAAUGAGCAGUAAAGGCAUCCAUUAGUUCAUCCAUUCUACCAACAUUUAUUAAGAUUCUGUUAUGUGUCUGGCUCUGUUCUAGGCACCAAGUAUAUGUAUAAAUAGGACAUCAUUCCUGCCUUCAAAAAGUAUGCAGUAUGUGCAUCUUGGGCUGAAGAUACAACGUAAGCAAAGGCACAGAGUUCCAUAGAAAGUGGACUCCAAGAGGCCAAGUUUUUAGUCCCAAAGCAGCCUGGAUCAGUGCUCGAGACAUAAUAGGCACCCGAAACACAUUUGUUGAAUGGAUGUAUGAAUCAAUCAAUCAAUCAACUGGAACUCUGUUUUUAAUUAUCUGACAAAAAAAUAAAACCCUGUCAUCUUUAGUAGGUCUAACAUGGUGAUCAGAGUAGCAAAGUGAUAUUUCUGGGACAAGUCUUUAGGGGUAAAGUUUUAGUGACAGAUAAAAUCAUUCAGAUAAUUUGAAGGAAAGAAUGAAAUUUCAGUCAGACUCCUAUGACAGGAUAGAAGCUUUCAUGGAGUAACAGGAA